AUGGAAGAUUUGAAGACUUCAAAUUGCAUACUUGGAAGAUUUGAAGACUUUCGCUUGCAUACUUGGAGGAUUUGAAGACUUCAUCU
rnacentral:pre_miRNA from 1 species